rnacentral:tRNA from 1 species
GCCUGGGUAGCGCAACGGAAGAGGCAAUGGUUUAAGGAGCCAUCAAGUGCGAGUUCGAAUCUCGCCCCAGGUACCA